CGGACGGGUGAGUAAUGUCUGGGAAACUGCCUGAUGGAGGGGGAUAACUACUGGAAACGGUAGCUAAUACCGCAUAACGUCGCAAGACCAAAGAGGGGACCUUCGGGCCUCUUGCCAUCGGAUGUGCCCAGAUGGGAUUAGCUAGUAGGUGGGGUAACGGCUCACCUAGGCGACGAUCCCUAGCUGGUCUGAGAGGAUGACCAGCCACACUGGAACUGAGACACGGUCCA
rnacentral:rRNA from 1 species